GUCAGCCUCCCGAGUAGCUGAGACUACAGGCGCCUGCCACCAUGCCCGGCUAAUUUUUUGCGUUUUUAGUAGAGACGGGGUUUCACCGUGUUAGCCAGGAUGGUCUCUAUCUCCUGAGCUUGUGAUCUGCCUGCCUCAGCCUUCCGAAGUGCCGGGAUUACAAGCGUGAGCCACCAUUCCCGGCCCAAAGAGGAGAAGAAGUAUUAAGUGCUUGCUUGGACCUUUUUACUGUGCUUAUUAUUCUGUCUUCUCCUCAUGGCAGGGAUGGGGUCAUGCUUUGUUGUCCAGGCUGGUCUCGAACUCCUGGAAUCAAGGAACCCUCCCACCUCAGCCUCUGAAAGUUCUGGGAUUACAGGCAUAAUCCAUCCUGCCUGGCCAAGAAUCUUUAAUGAAGCUGACAAACGGUUUAUGUCAGAAGGUGGAAUCGUGGUUAUGGUCGAUGUGGCAGGUCCUAAACAUAAAUUGGGUUUCCAGCACAAUGAGAAUUGUACUGAUUAGUUCCAUGGGCAGAAACGCAGCCAUGAAAUGUGGAGCAGAAAGGCAAGUUCUCACUCUGUUGCCCAGACUGGAGUGCAGUGGUGGAAGCAUGUCUCACUGCAACCUCGACUUCCCGGUAUCAAGUGAUCCUCCUCCUUCAGCCUACAGAGUAGCUGGAACCAUAGGCACGCACCACCACAUGUGGCUAAUUUUAAAAUGUUGGUAGAGAUAAGGUCUCGCCAUAUUGCCCAGGCUGGUCUUGAACUCCUGGGUUCAAGGUAUCCUUCCACCUCAGCCUCCCAAAAUGCUGAGAUUGCAGGCAUGAACCACCAUGCUUGGCCCUAAAAAUAUUCUAAAAUUAGAAGAUUUCACUGCCAAAUUUUCACUUUAGAAUUUGCUUACUCAAAUGGAAUUACUGCUUUGCUUCAGUUUGUAGAUUAUUCGCUAAAAGCAGUCUCAGGAAAACAGGACCUUCAACCAGUAUGAAAGAAAAUGCGCAGACCAACGGCUUUGGGAAUGGGCUGGCCAGCUUGAUAAGGACAGGCUGAGGCCACCUGCAGAAGGAUGCCCCCCACGUUGAUAAGACAAUGAUUAACUGCAUGCCUGAGACUGUACAAAUUUCACAUACAAAAAAUGUUUUAAGCAUUAUUUCCCAUAAUUUCCCUUAACAACCCCUGAUCCAGAGGCACAACUUGGAGAGGUGGUCUUCAAAUACUCCUUCACUGCCUCUUCCAGUGGCCAGCUUCUUGAAUAAAGCUAACUUUCCUUUCACCAAAUCUCAUCUCUUGGGUUUUUGGCUUUCAGGUGAUGAAUGGUCCGGACCUGAUUUUGGUUACAAUAGCUCCACUGAAACCAUCCUUGUGAGGUGACUUCUUGACCACUAAAUCCAAGGACCCCCUUUCAGUCCUUGUCCUCUCAGCAUAUUGGCAGAAUUAUACCAUUCCCUUUUGCCUAAAACACGCCUUCACUUUGAGGUAGGAGGCAGGACUCAAAUCCAUUGGUGAGGCUCAGACGGCAGACCAAAUUGAGGACUAGCAAAACACGGACAGGAUGAAAGCAGCUUUCCAUAAAACGCACUCACCGGUGUGCCAUGUCAGUUUAUCAUUGCCAUGGCAACACCCAGAUGUUACCGCUCCUUUCCAUGGCAACAACCUGACAACCCAGAAGUUGCCACCCUUUUCCUAGAAAUGUCUGCAUAAUCUGCCCCUUAAUUUGCAUAUAAUUAAAAGUGGGUAUUAAUAUAACUGCAGAGGUGCCUUGAAGCUGCCACUCUGGGCAUACUGCCUGUGGGGUAGCCCUGACCCACUAGUGUCUCUGCUACUGCCGUACGCUGCCACUUCAAUAAAAGUUGCUUUUAGCACCACUGGUUCGCCCAUACAUUUUUUCCUGGGCAAAGCCAAAAACUCUCCCAGGCUAAGCCCUGAUUUUUGGGCUCACCCACCCUGCAUCACUUUGCCUUCUACAAAAACAGACUCUUCUGAGUUUCCUUCACCCAAGUAGUAGUGACUUCCUUCUCAGUUAUUUUGUUAUUCCUUCUUCUUUUAUGACCUUCAGCUUCAGAAUUAGGACGCCUGAGGGCUAAACCCAAGAGUCUUUUCUUCUCAGUGAUAUUCUUUCCUGAAGCAGCUCAUGUAAUUCCAUUCUUCCAAUAAAUCCCUAAUUUCUAUUCAAGCUUCAGGUCUUGUUAGACCCUUCCAGUACUGGCUGUCCAGUGAGUGCAACCUGGGCAGGCCCAGUGCGCAGAAGAAUCCUGUGCAUGCUUUGAGACAUUGCGUUCAGUGUUUUGAAAUUCCAACGAGACUCCCUACAUUUUCAUUUUGCACUUGGCCCCAGAAAAUAUGUAGUUGGCCCUGUCUUCACUUGGAUAUUUUUCCAUGUGAAUCAAGCUCCAAGGAUGUACAAAUGAUUCUGUGGUCUCCCCAAAGUAUGCCCCUUUGUUAUUGCAUGUCUCAGCAAGUGGAAUACUAUCAAACCUGUUACCAAGUUUGACACCAAUGAGUCCUCCAUGACAUCAGCCACUUUCUUAUCUUCAAUAUUCAGUUAAUCACCAGGUAUGAUUUAUCUGGACCUUCUAAGUACAUAGUAAAUCUGUCCACUUUUCUACUUCACCACUGUUACGCUCAGACUCUCCUGCUGGAACUGUUAAGAUUGCUACUCUUUGGUUGUCUCCUGAUAAACAAGCUUGGGUGCUUCUCUAAUCCAAAUUCAAUUUUAAUCUCAUAGAUAUAGACAUGCAUCAUUCUAUUUUUUUAUAUCUGCAAAAUGACCUACUGUAUAUUCAUUUUGAAUCUUUUAAAUGCGUUGAAUGAAUGUGAGUCUUUAUGCAAUGCAGUAUAUUUUAAAAUAAAUGUAUAGAGUGUUCACUAUGUUCCAGGCAUUUGAGAAGUAGUAGAAUAAUUCUUGUCUAAUUUAUUGUGUUAACUAUACAGCAGAGAACCUAACAGACAAAAAUCUAUACCCUCAUGAAGCUUAUAUUCUAGUGAUUUAUGCUUUUCCUUGAAUAGUGCCCUUUCAACGUAUAUUCUGUGAUCGCUUAUGUGACCCUGAGUAACUCAUAACUCCUUCUUCAUACCUAUUGAGAUUGUAUUCAUUGCUGUGUAAGAGUAAAUUCUAAAGCAUAAGCCAUGAGUAGCUUUCUGUACAUAGAAUUUGAGACUCGAUUUUAUACUUACAUUUUAGAACAUCAGUUAUCAAGGAAAAAGACUACUGUUCAAAAACAAAUAUUCAUCUCCAGUUAUUUCAUUAGUCAUUUUGAUAUGGCUUAUUAUCUGGCAGGAGAAGACAGCUUUAUUCUCUUCAGAGGAAAGUUGGGGGGACUGAAAUAUGGACAUGCCACCAAGUAUGCCACCACUUGUGUCAAAUACACAGUGAAUGCCAUUUGUCACCAUAUUAAAAUAUUCUCAUUAAGAAGUGAUAAACUCUUGUUAUAAAUGUUAACAUCUUCCACAGCAAGUAGCUUUGUACUUAGUAGUUUCCUAAAACUGUUUGAUAGAUAAACCUAUUGAUGAAUGAACAAUGUGAAGUGGAUCAGGAGUUUCAAAAGUACACUUUUCAGUGCAAAAUGGUCUAUUGGGAAUUAGUAAAAUAAUUCUUGUCUAAAAGAAACUCAGCUACUUCCAUCUUAUUUCUUAUGUUGCUUGUUAGAGAUCUUGUCUUCAGCCUUCUGACUAAAUAUAAAUGCAGAAUAAGGAAUUUAUUCUAACAAGUUCUCAAACACAUUUCACUAAAGUUGUGAUUCUUAUAACAGCAUGAAGAUCCAAGAAAAUGAAAAUCAAGCCUGUGGCCUUUCAAUAUUAUUUGCUUCCAGAAUGAUGGCUAUUUAUAUUUAAAAGAUUCUGUACUAGAGAUAAAUCAACAUAGUCAUAUAAAUCAACAUAUUCAGAUAAUCUUCCAAAAGGAUAACUGAGGUCAAAGUUAUGGAGCUUUGUAAACCAUUGUGAGAAAAAUUAUAUGGAACUCAAAAAUAGGAAAAGAUUACUGAUUAUUCUGUCAGCACCAGGCUUAUGCCUUUGAUUAACUUUAUGAUGACAGGUAUUUCAUAAUUCCAUUGGAGCACAGGCUAAUUUGUAGAUUUUUCUGGUAAAGAUGCAAAUAAUGUCAGUAUGGUGGAAGAGAGAGGCUCAAAAUUAUAGUCAUUGUAAUCAUUUUUGUAUUCAAUUUAGUUAUCUUAUUUUGACAUUCCUUUACUACUCUGCCUAUAAAUACCUGGCUUCUGAAAUGUUUUUUAGGCUGGUUUUACCAUCUAACUGGUUCAUUAAUAUUAAUGAGUUCAGUACAAUCUUUGACAUACAUGCAUAUUAUAUUUGUAUGAAAAUCACAUUUUCUAAUUUUUUGAAAAAUUAUAUUUUAAUAAUAGUUGGACUUUUUUACUCACUACCUUUUCUCUUUAUUUUAAUAGGUCUACAAUUCCUUUAAAGGGGGUGCCAAGUGGGUAGGAGGGCAUAAUUGAAUGAAUUUCAUACUCCAAGCCUAGUCUUUCGACUAACUUGCCACCAGAUUUUUGUCUGUCAGGUUCCCUGCUGUAUACGUAACACAAUGAAUUAGACAAGAAUUAUCCGACUACUACUCAAAUGCCUGGAACAUAGUGACUACUCUAAAAAUUUAUUUUAAAAUGUAAAAUGUGUGUGUAGCAAUAAAGUAAUUCAGAACCCCUCACCCAUAAAUGGUGUUGUUCUAGUUGGUGUGUAAGUAUGAAUUCUAAAUAGUAAGUUUUAAGUAGUCUUCCAUAGGUACAAUUUGAGACUCACUUCUUACUUAAAUUUUAGAAUAUCCCAGUUGCAGAGAAUAAACAUAACCUUUCAUUGUAUUUUUAUAUAUAUACUUCAAGUUCUGGCAUACAUGUGCAGAAUGUGCAGGUUUGUUACAUAGGUAUACAUGUGCCAUGGUGGUCUGCUGCACCCAUCAACCUGUCAUCUACAUUAGGUAUUUCUCCUAAUGCUAUCCCUCCCUUAGCCCCCAACACCCUGACA